rnacentral:rRNA from 1 species
GACGAACGCUGGCGGCGUGCCUAAUACAUGCAAGUAGAACGCACAGUUUAUACCGUAGCUUGCUACACCAUAGACUGUGAGUUGCGAACGGGUGAGUAACGCGUAGGUAACCUGCCUGGUAGCGGGGGGUAACUAUUGGAAACGAUAGCUAAUACCGCAUAAUAUUGAUUAUUGCAUGAUAAUUGAUUGAAAGAUGCUAUUGCAUCACUACCAGAUGGACCUGCGUUGCAUUAGCUAGUAGGUGAGGUAACGGCUCACCUAGGCGACGAUACAUAGCCGACCUGAGAGGGUGAUCGGCCACACUGGGACUGAGACACGGCCCAGACUCCUACGGGAGGCAGCAGUAGGGAAUCUUCGGCAAUGGACGAAAGUCUGACCGAGCAACGCCGCGUGAGUGAAGAAGGUUUUCGGAUCGUAAAGCUCUGUUGUAAGAGAAGAACGGGUGUGAGAGUGGAAAGUUCACACUGUGACGGUAUCUUACCAGAAAGGGACGGCUAACUACGUG